UAGCUCAGUCAGUUGAGCGUAGCGCUAACAACGCUAAGGUUGUGGGUUUGAUUCCCGU
rnacentral:tRNA from 1 species